rnacentral:rRNA from 1 species
AUUGAACGCUGGCGGCAGGCCUAACACAUGCAAGUCGAGCGGAUGAAGGGAGCUUGCUCCUGGAUUCAGCGGCGGACGGGUGAGUAAUGCCUAGGAAUCUGCCUGGUAGUGGGGGAUAACGUCCGGAAACGGGCGCUAAUACCGCAUACGUCCUGAGGGAGAAAGUGGGGGAUCUUCGGACCUCACGCUAUCAGAUGAGCCUAGGUCGGAUUAGCUAGUUGGUGGGGUAAAGGCCUACCAAGGCGACGAUCCGUAACUGGUCUGAGAGGAUGAUCAGUCACACUGGAACUGAGACACGGUCCAGACUCCUAAGGGAGGCAGCAGUGGGGAAUAUUGGACAAUGGGCGAAAGCCUGAUCCAGCCAUGCCGCGUGUGUGAAGAAGGUCUUCGGAUUGUAAAGCACUUUAAGUUGGGAGGAAGGGCAGUAAGUUAAUACCUUGCUGUUUUGACGUUACCAACAGAAUAAGCACCGGCUAACUUCGU